GACGAACGCUGGCGGCGUGCUUAACACAUGCAAGUCGAACGGUGAAGCUCCAGCUUGCUGGAGUGGAUCAGUGGCGAACGGGUGAGUAACACGUGAGCAACCUGCCCCUGACUCUGGAAUAAGCGCUGGAAACGGCGUCUAAUACUGGAUACGAGAAGGGUCCGCAUGGGCACUUUCUGGAAAGUUUUUCGGUUGGGGAUGGGCUCGCGGCCUAUCAGCUUGUUGGCGAGGUAAUGGCUCACCAAGGCGACGACGGGUAGCCGGCCUGAGAGGGCGACCGGCCACACUGGGACUGAGACACGGCCCAGACUCCUACGGGAGGCAGCAGUGGGGAAUAUUGCACAAUGGGCGAAAGCCUGAUGCAGCGACGCCGCGUGAGGGAUGACGGCCUUCGGGUUGUAAACCUCUUUCAGCAGGGAAGAAGCGAAAGUGACGGUACCUGCAGAAGAAGCACCGGCUAACUACGUG
rnacentral:rRNA from 1 species